rnacentral:rRNA from 1 species
CCCUUAGAUGUUCUGGGCCGCACACGCGCUACACUGAAGGAGGCAGCGUGUACUCCUGGAUCGAAAGAUUUGGGUAACCCGCGAAUCUCCUUCGUGCUAGGGAUUGAGGUUUGCAAUUAUCCUUCAUGAACGAGGAAUUCCCAGUAAGUGCAAGUCAUAAGCUUGCGCUGACUACGUCCCUGCCCUUUGUACACACCGCCCGUCGCUACUACCGAUUGAAUGGUCCGGUGAAUCUUUAGGACUGUGGCUGAGGCCUUGCCUUGUGCGGGUCUGGCCGUGGGAAUUUAGUUAAACCUUACCAUUUAGAGGAAGGUGAAGUCGUAACA